rnacentral:tRNA from 11 species
UCGAGAUGCACGGGUCAGGUUCGAACCAUGGACCUUCCAUUUAGUAAACUCAUGCUCUAACCACUGAGCCAUCUCG